ACGGGAGGCAGCAGUGGGGGAUAUUGCACAAUGGGGGAAACCCUGAUGCAGCGACGCCGCGUGAGUGAUGAAGUAUUUCGGUAUGUAAAGCUCUAUCAGCAGGGAAGAUAAUGACGGUACCUGACUAAGAAGUCACGGCUAACUACGUGCCAGCAGCCGCGGUAAUACGUAGGUGGCGAGCGUUAUCCGGAAUUACUGGGUGUAAAGGGUGUGUAGGCGGAGAAGCAAGUCAGGCGUGAAAUUCAGAGGCUCAACCUCUGGACUGCGCUUGAAACUGUUUCCCUUGAGAGUGGGAGAGGUAAACGGAAUUCCUGGUGUAGUAGUGAAAUGCGUAGAUAUCAGGAGGAACACCGGUGGCGAAGGCGGUUUACUGGACCACAACUGACGCUGAGACACGAAAGCGUGGGGAGCAAACAGGAUUAGAUACCCUGGUA
rnacentral:rRNA from 1 species